rnacentral:rRNA from 1 species
GAUGAACGCUGGCGGCGUGCCUAAUACAUGUAAGUCGAACGGAGUAUUAGCAAUAAUACUUAGUGGCGAACGGGUGAGUAACGCGUUGGUGACCUGCCCCGAAGAGAGGGAUAACAGUUCGAAAGGAUUGCUAAUACCCCAUGUUGUCAUUUGGAUUAGAUGCCUUAUGACUAAACGGAUUUAUUCGCUUCGGGAGGGGCCUGCGUCCCAUCAGCUAGUUGGUAAGGUAACGGCUUACCAAGGCGAUGACGGGUAGGGGACCUGAGAGGGUGGCCCCCCACAAUGGAACUGAAACACGGUCCAUACACCUACGGGAGGCUG